rnacentral:rRNA from 1 species
GAUCAUUAUCGAUACUUUCAUGUUGGUUGUAGCUGGCCCUUUCAGGGUAUGUGCACACCUUCAUAAAUAUCCACACACCUGUGAACCAAUUGUAGGUCUUCGGAUCUAUGCAUUUUUCCACAAACCACGAAUGUUAUUAGAAUGUUUAAUUGUUAGUUGCUGUAAAAAGCAAUUAUAAAAUAAAUACAACUUUCAACAACGGAUCUCUUGGCUCUCGCAUCGAUGAAGAACGCAGCGAAAUGCGAUAAGUAAUGUGAAUUGCAGAUUUUCAGUGAAUCAUCGAAUCUUUGAACGCACCUUGCGCUCCUUGGUAUUCCGAGGAGCAUGCCUGUUUGAGUGUCAUUAAAUUCUCAACUCUUAAUUCUUUGCUGGAUUAUGAGCUUGGACUUGGAGUGUGCUGGCUUUUACGAGUCGGCUCCUCUUCAAAUACAUUAGCGGAUUUUACUUCUCGCAAAAACUCGGCGUGAUAAUUGUUAUGCUGUGUAUGAGCUUGAAGAGCUGCUUCUUAACCGUCCUUCUGGGACAACAUUGACAAAUUUGACCUCAAAUCAGGUAGGACUACCCGCUGAACUUAAGCAUAUCAAUAAGCGGAGGAAAAGAAACUAACAAGGAUUCCCCUAGUAACUGCGAGUGAAGCGGGAAAAGCUCAAAUUUAAAAUCUGGUUGGUUUCACAACCCGAGUUGUAAUCUGGAGAAGCGUUUUCCGUGUCGGACCGUGUACAAGUUUUCUGGAACGGAACGUCAUAGAGGGUGAGAAUCCCGUCUUUGACACGGACUACCGAUGCUUUUGUGAUACGCUCUCAAAGAGUCGAGUUGUUUGGGAAUGCAGCUCAAAAUGGGUGGUAAAUUCCAUCUAAAGCUAAAUAUAGGCGAGAGACCGAUAGCGAACAAGUACCGUGAGGGAAAGAUGAAAAGCACUUUGGAAAGAGAGUUAAACAGUACGUGAAAUUGUUGAAAGGGAAACGUUUGAAGUCAGUCGCGUCUGUUGAGAUUCAACCCUGCUUCUGCAUGGCGCAUUUCUCAGCAGGCGGGUCAACAUCAAUUUUGAUCAUUGGAUAAAGUCUGGGGGAAUGUGGCAUUCUUCGGGAUGUGUUAUAGCCCCUGGUCGUAUACAGUGGUUGGGAUUGAGGAA